rnacentral:rRNA from 1 species
AGUGAACGCUGGCGGUAGGCCUAACACAUGCAAGUCGAACGGCAGCACGGUAAGCGCGUGCUCUUACGGGUGGCGAGUGGCGGACGGGUGAGGCAUGCAUCGGAAUCUACUUUUUCGGGGGGGAUAACGGAGGGCAACUUACGCUAAUAGAGCAUACGACCUACGGCUGGAAGCAAGGGAUCUUCGGACCUUUCGCGAUUGAAUGAGACGAGGUCGGAUUGGCUAGUUGGGUGGGUAAAGGCCCACCAAGGCAACGAUCCGUAGCCGACCUGAGAGGAUGAUCGGCCAAACUGGACCGGAGAAACGGCCCAGAUUCCUACGGGAGGCAGCAUGAGGAAAUCUGGCGAAAUGGGCGAAAGCCGGACGAAGCAACGCGGCGGGAGUGAUGAAGGCCUUCGGUUCGUAAAACCCUGUUAUUAGGGAGGAACAAAUGUGUAUGUAACUAUGCUCGUCUUGACGGUACCUAAUCAGAAAGCCACGGCUAACUACGU